UGGCCGAGGAUGAAAAACAUGUACUGAGUGUGGUGAACAAAUCUGAUGAAUUAAAGGAUUUUCUGAGGCCA
rnacentral:snoRNA from 1 species